AACGAACGCUGGCGGCAUGCCUAAUACAUGCAAGUCGAACGAAACGACCGGGUGCUGUCUCGCCCGAGGUUGUCACCGGACGGAUCCUUCCCUCAUGUUCAAACUAACUCUCCGACAGGGGUGCCAUCACCGGAUAAUAUCUAAUGACCAAUAAUUUAUUGCCCUUGGUUGUUCCCGCGUUGGAUUCGGUUGUUCGUACGCUAAUAGCUUAAUAAGGGGCCGAUUCAUAGCUGGUUUGAGAGGAUGAUCAGCCACACUGGGACUGAGACACGGCCCAGACUCCUACGGGAGGCAGCAGUGGGGGAUAUUGGACCAUGGGCGAAAGCCUGAUCCAGCAAUGCCGCGUGAGUGAUGAAGGCCUUAGGGUUGUAAAGCUCUUUUACCCGGGAUGAUAAUGACAGUACCGGGAGAAUAAGCUCCGGCUAACUCCGUG
rnacentral:rRNA from 1 species